rnacentral:rRNA from 1 species
UACAGAGGUCUCAAGCGUUGUUCGGAUUCAUUGGGCGUAAAGGGUGCGUAGGCGGCGCGGUAAGUCGGGUGUGAAAUCUCGGAGCUUAACUCCGAAACUGCAUUCGAUACUGCCGUGCUUGAGGACUGGAGAGGAGACUGGAAUUUACGGUGUAGCGGUGAAAUGCGUAGAUAUCAGGAGGAACACCGGUGGCGAAGGCGGGUCUCUGGGCCGGUACUGACGCUAAGGAGCGAAAGCGUGGGGAGCGAACAGG